CACGUAGGGGGCAAGCGUUGUCCGGAUUUAUUGGGCGUAAAGAGCUCGUAGGCGGCUUAGUAAGUCGGGUGUGAAACCUCCAGGCUCAACCUGGAGACGCCACCCGAUACUGCUGUGGCUAGAGUCCGGUAGGGGAGCGUGGAAUUCCUGGUGUAGCGGUGAAAUGCGCAGAUAUCAGGAGGAACACCAGCGGCGAAGGCGGCGCUCUGGGCCGGUACUGACGCUGAGGAGCGAAAGCGUGGGCAGCAAACAGG
rnacentral:rRNA from 1 species